GCUGAAGUUGUGCCUUCAGAGCCAAUAGAGUGGAUUUGUGUGUCCCACAUGACUGUGUUUCCCCUGUCUUUCACAUGGGCAGUAUUUAGUUCAAUUCAGAACUGCAGAUAGUAUAGCGUGCAGAGCAGCAAUGGGAUGUCUGAGCACAAGUAGCUGACUUCCAGGCGACUUCAGGAAGCACAUUUGCACAUUUCUCCUGAAUUAUCUGGGAUUCUGCACCCUUGACAUUCUCCGACCCUCCCUGUCGCUGCAGAAGGAGACAGCGACCUGCACAGCACAACAAAACUACAAAUCACCACAGAGCUACAGAUCAGCAAUGAAGAGAGCUGAGGGCAAUUUGACCAACAUCAUCUGUGUCAGUUCCCCAGAAGUCGAUGAAACACGUAAUCAGGUCUCCAAGACCACGAGACUCAGAAGAUCACUGUGGGCCAACCCAUUCUGUUGACAUGACACAAAGUACAGCCCAGUUUGGUAUUCCUUUGGCCCUGAAGGACUCUCAGAUCAGAUGAGCAUCCAGGUGUCAGCUGGUGUAAACCCAGAUGCCACUGACGUCAAUGGAGCUGUCAGUUUACUCCAGCUGAAAAUCUGAUCCCAAGUGUGCUACUGCCAUUUUUAGACGCUGCCAAUGGAAUUAACUUUUCAAGACAAUUAAAAAAAACCACAUCCACACAACAUUGCAUUUCUUCCUGUCCCCGAGUGUUUAACUGGAAGUCUGUUGACAGACUGUGGGAGAGGGCAAGUGGGAGGUGGAAGUAGCGAACAACUGCAUCCAUGAGAUAACUUUGCAGUAUCAGUAUGAACACUGUUCCGUUGUCUUCCUUUAUACAAACAAAUAUUUGGCUUCAAAAAGUUUUAACUCCACCUACCACUAA